rnacentral:rRNA from 1 species
AGCGAACGCUGGCGGCAGGCCUAACACAUGCAAGUCGAACGAACUCUUCGGAUUUAGUGGCGGACGGUGGAUUAACAGGGGGAAAGUGGCCUUUUGGUUCGGAAUAACCCAGGGAAACUUGUGCUAAUACCGAAUGGGCCCUCCGGGGGAAAGAUUUAUCGCCAUUAGAGCGGCCGGCGUCUGAUUAGCUAGUUGGUGAGGUAACGGCUCACCAAGGCGACGAUCAGUAGCUGGUCUGAGAGGAUGACCAGCCACACUGGGACUGAGACACGGCCCAGACUCCUACGGGAGGCAGCAGUGGGGAAUCUUGCGCAAUGGGCGAAAGCCUGACGCAGCCAUGCCGCGUGAAUGAUGAAGGUCUUAGGAUUGUAAAAUUCUUUCACCGGGGACGAUAAUGACGGUACCCGGAGAAGAAGCCCCGGCUAACUUCGUG